rnacentral:piRNA from 1 species
UGAGAAUUCUGGACCAGCCUGGUGUGCACA